rnacentral:misc_RNA from 1 species
GUGAAUCAUCGAAUCUUUGAACGCAAAUUGCACUCUCUGGUAUUCCGGAGAGUAUGCCUGUUUGAGGGUCAGUUUAAAUAAAAAUCGGUGUGGUUGCUGCCUUUCGUGGUGACGCACCGGAUUUGGGUCGUCUUGCCUUCGGUUAAGUGACCUAAAAUUUUGCAUGAUUUUUUUCGAACGUAUUUAAAUGAUUUUAGGAAGGUUUGGGAUAUCGAUUAUUAGGUGUGUUAAUCUUAU